GAGUGGCGGACGGGUGAGUAAUGCUUGGGAACUUGCCUUUGCGAGGGGGAUAACAGUUGGAAACGACUGCUAAUACCGCAUAAUGUCUUCGGACCAAACGGGGCUUCGGCUCCGGCGCAAAGAGAGGCCCAAGUGAGAUUAGCUAGUUGGUAAGGUAACGGCUUACCAAGGCGACGAUCUCUAGCUGUUCUGAGAGGAAGAUCAGCCACACUGGGACUGAGACACGGCCCAGACUCCUACGGGAGGCAGCAGUGGGGAAUAUUGCACAAUGGGGGAAACCCUGAUGCAGCCAUGCCGCGUGUGUGAAGAAGGCCUUCGGGUUGUAAAGCACUUUCAGUUGUGAGGAAAAGUUAGUAGUUAAUACCUGCUAGCCGUGACGUUAACAACAGAAGAAGCACCGGCUAACUCCGUGCCAGCAGCCGCGGUAAUACGGAGGGUGCGAGCGUUAAUCGGAAUUACUGGGCGUAAAGCGCACGCAGGCGGUUUGUUAAGCUAGAUGUGAAAGCCCCGGGCUCAACCUGGGAUGGUCAUUUAGAACUGGCAGACUAGAGUCUUGGAGAGGGGAGUGGAAUUCCAGGUGUAGCGGUGAAAUGCGUAGAUAUCUGGAGGAACAUCAGUGGCGAAGGCGACUCCCUGGCCAAAGACUGACGCUCAUGUGCGAAAGUGUGGGUAGCGAACAGGAUUAGAUACCCUGGUAGUCCACACCG
rnacentral:rRNA from 1 species